ensembl:snoRNA LOC120094932 small nucleolar RNA SNORA17
UGUGUCACAGGGUCCUCAGUAAGUGGCAGAGAGGAGAGAGCUUAUGCCUGCUCUCUGUGUUCUGACCUGUGAACAUCUGAGCGGUUACUAGCCUAACAUU